UACGUAGGGUGCGAGCGUUGUCCGGAAUUAUUGGGCGUAAAGGGCUCGUAGGCGGUUUGUCGCGUCGGGAGUGAAAACCUUGGGCUUAACUCAGGGCUUGCUUUCGAUACGGGCAGACUAGAGGUAUGCAGGGGAGAACGGAAUUCCUGGUGUAGCGGUGAAAUGCGCAGAUAUCAGGAAGAACACCCGUGGCGAAGGCGGUUCUCUGGGACGGUACUGACGCUGAGACGCGAAAGCCAGGGGAGCAAACGGG
rnacentral:rRNA from 1 species